rnacentral:snoRNA from 1 species
GGGUGGGCGCUUAUAAGCCUUUGGCUUCAGCCCACUCCCUUUGAGCAGGUUAACUGCUCAAACAAAUAAAUAAACUAAACUAAACUAAGUGAUGCUCCUUCUUGAACAGGAAGAAAGUAGAGACUUGGUUCAUCCGUGUUCUCUGUUACUGAUGACUGUUCACUGUUUCUUCUAGGGACGGUGGGUGAAGAAGUAUGAUCUGAGUGGU